AAUACACCUCGUUAGGUGAGGCUCCUAUACGGAGAUACGCUGCUGCCCAAAAAUGUCCAAAGACGCCAAUGGGUCAACAGGAACGAUCGACAUAAGGUCGUUUUUAAUGUAGCUGGAUGUUAUCCUAUGCCGUAUAGUGCUAAAGCUCAACGAUGGAGGGAACAG
rnacentral:sRNA from 2 species